CUCGUACUGGGAGCCCUGCAACACAUUCAGGCAAGUGGAGAGGAAAAAGCACAUCAAUUAUCUCGUUAGCGUCUCUCCCAGACCUGAAUAGGCUGCUCUGGGAGACGGAACGCGCUUCGGAGCCGGGCACGGGAGCUUCACACUCCAAUACGGCCCUCCCCUCUCUGGGCUCCCACGUUUGGAGCAGGCAGAAGGGUUCCCGAGUGACCCCCGCUUCUUGCAGAGAAAGGAGAAGAGGGACCGAGCUGGGCUCUGUCAGGCAGAACGCGGAUUUCCUCCGCAAACCAAAGCGAACCGAACGAUGGGAAAGCACUAAGUUCACAUUCCACCACGACAAUUUGCUGUGCGCUCCAAACGACCUUAGGAAGGGAAAGCAGGUAGCACAGCACAGCUAACAACUGAUGCCCACGCUCAUCGUUGGGUUUAUCCGCCAAAUAUCCGGGGGGAUAUCACGCACGCAGAUCACUCUCCCUUGGCCCCGGUUCUGCCUUUAAAAGGAGUUGGUGUGAGAGGCGGCCGGCGUGGCAGUGCGCAACUUCAGCGCGGAGCCACUUCGGUGCGAGGGCUUUGCACACACAAACCUCCCCCCAGCACACCCCGAUGGUGCCCCGAGAAUCCGGUAUGAAAUAUUAACUCCCAAGUGUUGGGAGAGCCCUACCUCCGCAAUGAAAGGCGAUCUUUGCAGCACAGAAAAUGCAUAUGCGGAGACUUUAUCUCUUAAGUUUUACUUUGAUGUGAGCAGAGCAAACACCAACUGUUUACAAGCGUUUAGAGACGGUGAUUUAUUUGCAAUCAAUAUUCUUUUUAUCAUCGGUAGUAAAACACAGCGAGUCACAUUAUCCCAUCAGGUGUUUUGGUAAAUAACAUUUUAUCUUUCUAGCGAGCUCGUUAGGCCUCAUUAUGACCGCAAAUUGCCCAGAUAUUAACUUCAUAUUUUAGCUCCGGAUUUCCUAACGCUCGGAAUUUGAGAAUCGAUUUCUAAAUAUCGCCACCACGGUGAAUUACUGUAGUAAAACACCGGGAUGCCUUUGCAAGUAGGAAAGGAAACUGUUGCUGAAUAUCUGACACUUACAGCCGUUUUCUUUCUAUCUCUCCCUCUCUUUCUUUUCUUUUUUUUCUUUUUUUGUUUUGUGUUUCCACCACAAUGUCACUUUCUUCUGGCCCAGAAAUACACUCGCAGGUUGAAUCUUAGGGAAUGGUGUCAGCCUUAAAAAUGACCCCUUCAACAGUGGCCGCAGUGCAACUGAGCUAACUUUGUUAAACAUUUAUAAAUGAACGUGCAUUUCAAUUUCAGAGGCAAUGCGUACGCACGAAGCGAAGCCCGAUGCAAUUUUUAUAAUGUGUUACAGAGCGGGCUUUCUGCGCUCCCUUUAUCCCGCUGUCUUUUGUUAUUGUUGCUGAAAUGAUAUUUUUUUUCCCCCCGCACUCUCUGCUGGGAAAUCUUUUGAAAGAGCCACUUGUAAAUCACUCUCUGCCGCUGGGUCAACUUUUUGUGCAUCUCCAAAAUCAAGGUUGAAAAUAAAAGAGGGGGACGCGUGCUGCUAACGCUGCCCUCGUAAGGAAGUGUUUGCGGCACAGACUGAUCUGUGUUCCGACGCUGACCUCGUUCAACAGCGCAUCUGACUGCCGACCUACACACGUAUAUGCACACACGUACUGAAGCCCCUCACCAGCUGUGCCUUGCAUGCACCUCCACUCUUUUCCUUUUCGGAAGAGAUCAUAGAGGGGCAUUGAGAGUAAGUGCAGCCUCUGCGCACCGCCGUUGAGCAAUCCGCAGACACGGAGCAACGAAUACGCUUCAGCGACGCCGGAGAGGAAAAGCUGACCAAUAGCUGGAGCUUAAUCAGAAAAGUGCGCAAAGAACUAAACUGUAUGGGAAACUGAAAACAACAUCAGCUGCUGCCGGAAGCAUGGGGAAAACCUUUCCCUAAAGCUAAACAGUCCAGAAGAUCCUAAGGAAAAGGAGCGCGGUUCCAACUCAUUAGCACCGAGGAGUCCCGUAGCGAAGGAGGAACUGGGAUCAGAGUGGGACACUGUCACCUUUCCGCUGGAGAGCGGGCGCCCGUCUGAAAACAAGCGGGAGAGAAAUAGAUAGCGGCGCUGGGUGUAAUGUGAUUACACCUGAGGUAAUCGCUUAAAAUAAAUUGUAUGCUGUUUAAAGUAAA